rnacentral:lncRNA from 1 species
GGAUCUCUGGCCCUCUCGCUUGUUCUGGGCCUUGAACACCUGCUGGUGGCUGGAGCAAAACAGCCUAGGCAGGCGGAGGCGCGGCCAGCCCAGCAGAGAGAGCUGGAAUCAUUGGCAUUGCUAGCACGUGGGUACCAUUCGCUGCUGCUGCCCCGGCACUUCUCCCGCCUUGCGUUUCUCCCAAUGCGAUAUAGCAAGAGAGGGAGCAGGAGACGCUUUUGCAGCGGGCGAUGAAAUCCUGGCAGCUAAUUGCAGUCGUGGGAGAUGCCCUUCAGG